AGCAAUGGGAUGCGAAUCUCGAAAGCCUGUCUCAGUUCGGAUUGGAGGCUGAAACCCGCCUCCAUGAAGUUGGAUUCGCUAGUAAUCGCGCAUCAGCCAUGGCGCGGUGAAUACGUUCCCGGGCCUUGUACACACCGCCCGUCAAGCCAUGGGAGCCGGGGGUGCCUGAAGUGCGUGAGCGCAAGCAGCGCCCUAAGGUAAAACCGGUGACUGGGGCUAAGUCGUAACAAGGUAAC
rnacentral:rRNA from 1 species